GAGACAUCUAUCUUUGAAAUAUCACCUUGUACUACUUCUGCAUCGCUCCAAAGUCGAUGAGUUGCACAAGCAUCUUCAUCUAUAUCAUUUGCCCAAAUAAUUUUAAAACCUAUGCGUUCAAACCCCAUAUCAAGCCCACCUGCACCACUAAACAGGGAAACGGCUGUAAAAUUUGUUUUAACCAUAUAAAAGGCCCCUUCCUUAAAAAUUAUUAUACCAUACAUUCUAUUAAUUAAAUAAUAGCAUUUUCGGUCGCACAAGGCCAGAAAAACAUUUUGCACAAAUUUUGCAUCGCAAGGAAACCGAAAGUCCAUAAACUCUGUAAGAUCAAAUCUUGUAUGAUAAUAGUUCGACUCCCACCGUCUCCAUCGAAUUCAACAAUGGUACGGAACAUACUAUAAAGCAUAAGUUGCCGUUGAGGUU
rnacentral:scRNA from 1 species